UGCAGCAGAAGCAACGCACCAGAGAGGAGAAAAGAAGGGCACGAACCCCUGUGUCAACUCCCAAAAGCCGUAACUUCUCCGUCCGACCUCCGAUCGCUGCACCGUUUGUGGUCACGCGUCCACCGCGUCGAGCUCUACAUUUCUACCGGAACAAUUUCUUUGGAUCCAAUUAACUUGAAGAAAACGUUUACUCUUGCUUAUGUGAAACUUGGGUAAGGUUGAAAAUAAAUAAUUGGAGCCCGAAAUUGUGAAUACUGGAACUUGAAGGAAGCAGAUUAGUUGAGGUUUUGAGGGCUAUGUUCUUUUAGAAAAAUUGUCUUGAAAUAAUACUUGGGAAUCGACUAAGAUGCAGGUCGAGAGGCGUCUCGUUAAGCGUCUGGACUCCUGAAGCGAAGUGGUUACUGGGUUAUGUUGUUGUAUAGUGGUAUAUAUAUGUACUUAGCUCUUUUUCUCCGCAUAACUUAUUCUUUUUGGUCUUCUUAGAGGUUUAUGGAGAGGCAGGAUUGUGUAUAUGUACUUUUGGGUUUUGGAUAUGUAUAUAUGUGUAUAUUCUCCGGCCAGUCUUGACUUCGCAGGCUGAGUCAGGAGCUCGUUAUUUUGUAUCAUUGACUCUCUGUUCCUGUUUUGGGUUACUUUACACUUGAUAGCUGUAGCUUUCUUAGGACGCAAGUUAACUCAUUUCUCGAGCGUUGCGCUUUUAUUUCGCGAUUUUUAUUUCCUCUAUUCU